UAUGUUCCCAGCUUUAGCCACCUGCUCAAGCAUCAUCCAUUGGGGAUGAUGUCUCUUGCAGUCUUGGACGGGAUGAGAAUACUGCAGGGAAAGGAGCUGGUCUGCUGAUGCUUUCUGGGGCUGCUCCUGAGGAGGCUGCAAAGGUUUGUUGUGCCUUGGGAGCCUUUUCAAGUCCUUUCCAGCUCAGAGAGAUCUCCUACCUAGCAGGGGAUCUGCUGGCUGCAGAGAAGGGGGUGUGUGUCAUUGCCAGCUCUUGAGGCUGAGAGAGUGUAACAAAGGCCACCCCUAGUGGGUUUCCAGGAUCCGAACCCUGAUCGCCAGAGUCGGAGAACGAGAGCAAUUCUGGGUCUCCCUUCCAGACAAAUCUGCUGAGACCGGCUCUUUCUUUGCCUAGAUUAUUUUUAACCAACUAAUAGUUUAUUCCAGGACUGAGUUCGGAAACGUCUGAAACCAACGCGUUACAAACGGCAGCAGCAACGAUCCCCAGCCCGCCUCUGGGACACAGGGAUUUAUUCAACUUUAUAUAUAUAUAGUUGAAUAAAUAUAUAUACAGUAUAUAUAUUCCGAUGUUGUGGAAAAUGCAAAGCUGUCCAUUUGAACCUGUGUAGAAUAGUUUGAUUAACAAUUUUAAAAAAAUUAAAAAUAUAUAUUUUAUUUAUGUAUUUAUUUAUUUGGGAGUCCUAUCUGCAAAGCCUACGAAAUGAGAGAGAGAGGGAUUGCAGGGGAGUUGGUUGAAAUAAAGUGUAAUAAUAAUAAUAAUAAUAAUAAUAAUAAUAAUAAUAAU